UAUGUGACGAUUAUGACGGUAGCAUAUGAAUAAGGAUCGGCUAACUCCGUGCCAGCAGCCGCGGUCAUACGGAGGAUCCAAGCGUUAUCCGGAAUUACUGGGCGUAAAGAGUUGCGUAGGUGGCAUUGUAAGUUGGUAGUGAAAGCGUUCGGCUCAACCGGAUUAACAUUACUAAAACUGCAAAGCUAGAGGACAAGAGAGGUUAUUGGAAUUCCCUGUGUAGGAGUGAAAUCCGUAGAUAUAGG
rnacentral:rRNA from 1 species